GUUCAGAGUCUCACAUGAAUUCCUGGAUCAGCAUUGUCAUCCCAGCCCUAGUAUUGGUAGUCCUGAUUACAGUAUGUGCCUAUCUACAAAUCAGAUGGAAAAUCCUUAACAAAAUAAAAGGCAUCGACAGAAGAAGAAGAAACAUACCACCACGACCAAACCAUAGAGGGGACAGAAGUCUAGAGAAGGGAUGUGUACUUCUCCAGAAGGUUUGCCUUUCAGGUCAAGAAACACAGACAAGGACACAGGAGGCCUUGCCUACUACAACCACACAAGACCAUGUAGCAGUGAUGCUGGCCAGAGUCUACACACCACAGGAGGGCAGCUGAGAGCAGCCCAGACAGCAGCAGCCCAACAAUAUGGACCAAAGACAUUUCCCCUGCACUGCUGGAAGACUGAGCACAGAUGUCCUCUAUGCGUGUGUUUCUGCAUAAGUGUCCAUGCUUCCCAUUGAUGGCAUAUUCUGGUGGCAAACUCUGCCUCAGAUUUCUAGGAGAAAUGUCCUUAUUUCUGUCUUUACUGACAUCUUGGAUGGUAUUCAGCCCUUUAUCCUCGUUCCCCUCUCUCCUACCAGAACUCUAUCCUCUGAAUGCUGAUCCCUCAUAUGGGAGCUUUCACUUUUUCUUGUCCACAAACAGAC